rnacentral:lncRNA from 10 species
AUAAGGACUACCUCUGUUCCAAUAUGGAAUGAUCUCCAAAAUAUACUAGGUGAAAAGACCAAGAGGCUGAGCAGCGUAUAUAGUAGGAAAACCUUUUGCAUAAGAGAAAAAAAGAAUAUAUGCAGAUAUUUGCUUAUUAUUGCAAAAUCCAACAUUUAAAGGAUAAACCAAAACCAAAUAAAUAUUAGAAUGGUUCAAGCACCAACCAUGAGACAACCCUUGGCAAUUCCUCCUCAAAGUCCCAGCUAUAAAAGUGGUAGUAGGCUGGAAGCCGUGGCUCAUGCCUGUAAUCCCAACACUUUGGGAGGCCGAGGCGGGCAGAUCAUGAGGUCAGGAGUUCGAGACCAGCCUGACCAACAUGGUAAAACACCGUCUCUACUGAAAAUGCAAAAAUUAUUUGGGAGUGGUGGUGCACGCCUGUAAUCCCAGCUACUCAGGAGGCUGAGGCAGGAGAAUCGCUUGAACCUGGGAGGUGGGGAGGCAGAGGUUGCAGUGAGCCAAGAUUGCACCCCUGCACUCCAGCCUGGGCAACCAAGUGAGACUGCGUCUUUUAAAAAAAAAAAAAAAAAAAAAAAAAGUGGCAGUAAGUUUGAGUGGUGGUCCCUACUAUUUGAUAUUCUUAAAAGUUCUGGGCCGGGUGCGGUGGCUCAUGCCUGUAAUCCCAGCGCUUUGGUAGGCCAAGGCGGGCGGAUCACCUGAGGUCAGGAGUUCGAGACCAACCUGACCAACAUGGAGAAAACCCCGUCUCUACUAAAAAUACAAAAUUAGCCAGGCAUAGUGGCGUCUGCCUGUAAUCCCAGCUACUCAGGAGGCUGAGGAAGGAGAAUCGCUUGAACCUGGGAGGCGGAGGUCGCGAUGAGCCAAGAUCGCGUCAUUGUACUCAAGCCUGGGCAACAAGAGAGAAAUUCCGUCUCCAAAAAAAAAAAAAAAAGUUCUGGGCCAGGCGCAGUGGCUCAUGUCUGUAAUCCCAGCACUUUGGGAGUCUGAGGUGGGUGGAUCACCUGAGCCCAGGGGUUCAGGACCACCCUGGACAACAUGGCAAAACCCUAACUCUACAGGCCAGGUGCAGUGGCUCACGCCUGUAAUCCCAGCACUUUGGGAGGCCAAGACGGGCGGAUCACUUGAAGCUGGGAGUUCAAGACCAGCUUGACCAACAUGGAGAAACCCCGUCUCUACUAAAAAUACAAAAUUAGCCGGGUGUGGUGGCACAUGCCUGUAAUCCCAGCUACUCAGGAGGCUGAGGCAGGAGAAUUGCUUGAACCUGGGAGGCGGAGGUUGCGGUGAGCCGAGAUCACGCCAUUGCACUCCAGCCUGGGCAAGAAGAGCGAAACUCUGUCUCAAAAAAAAAAAAAAAAAAAAACCCUAACUCUACAGAAACAAUGGACACGGUGGCACCUGCUUGUAGUCUCUGCUACUAGGGAGGCUGGGGUAGGAGGGUCACCUGAGCCUGGGGAGGUCAAUGCUGGAGUAAACCGUGAUCGCCCACUGCACUCCAGUCUGGGAGGCAGAUUGAGAUCCUGUCUCAAAAAAAAAAAAAAAAAGUUAUAGUAAUACCAUCUCCUCCCUUUUGUUCCCCUGACCCUUAAUAGUUUCACCCUACAGUAAUUAAUUUCUAAGUUACCUACUGCUAUGGUUUAGAUAAGGUUUGUCGCCACCAAAACUCAUGUGGAAAUUUGAUCCCCAAUGUGGUGGUGUUAGGAGGUGGGGCCUACUGGGUGGUGUUUAGGUAAUGGGGGCAGAUCUCUCAUGAGUGACUUGGUGCUGUUCUCCUGGUAGUGAGUGAGUUCUGGCUCUCCGAAACUAGAUUAGUUCCUGGGAGAGUAGGUUGUUAUAAAUCAGGCCAUCCCCAACGUUUCCCCUAUUCACAUGUCAACUUCCCCUUUGACCUUUCCUGCCACACUGUGAUACAGCUGGAAAGCCCUGCCAGAAGCCAGGGCCAUGGACUUGAACUUCCUAGCCUGUAGAACCAUGAGCUAAAUAAACCUCUUUUCUUUAUAUAAUAAAUUACUUAAUCUCAGGUAUUCUUUACAGAAACACAAAAUGGACUAAGACACCUACUCUACCAUCUUUUGCCCUUCUGGUGUUAUAACACAUAUGUAACCAAUUCCCUAUAUUAAAUUUCCUCUUUGAAAUAUUUAGUAUAUUUUCCAGUUUUUGGCUGGAUCCUGAUGGAUAAAAAAUUCUAAGGAUUUAGAAGAACUGCAGGCUAGGCGCAGUGGCUCACGCCUGCAAUGCCAACACUUUAGGUCAAGGCAGGUGGAGGAUUGCUUGAAGACACGAAUUCCAGACCAGCGUGGGCAACAUGGCAAAACUCCAUCUCUACAAAAAACACAAAAAAAUUAGCCUGGCAUGGUGGCAUGUGACUGUAGUCCCAGCUACUCAGGAGGCUGAGAUGGGACAGUAACUUGAGCCUGGGAGGGAGAGGUUGUAGUAAGCAGAGAUUGCACCACUGCACUCCAGCCCAGGUGACAGAGCCAGACCCUGUGUCUAAAAAAAUAAAAAUCAAAAAAAUUCCCAGCACUUUGGGAGGCCGAGGCAGGUACAUCACGAGGUCAGGAGUUCAAGACCAGCCUCGCCAAGAUGGUGAAACCCCAUCUCUACUAAAAAUACAAAAAAUUAGCCAGGCGUGGUGGUGGGUGCCUAUAAUCCCAGCUACUUGGGAGGCUGAGGCAGGAGAAUCGCUUGAACCCAGGAGGUGGAGGUUGCAGUGAGCCCAGAUCGUGCCAUUGUACUUCAGCCUGGGUGACAGAGACUACGUCUCAAAAAAAAAUAUUGGCCAGGUGUAGUGGUGCCCACCUGUAGUUCUAGCUACUCGGGAGGCUGAGGCAGGAGGAUCGCUUGAGCCAGGAGAUUGGGGCUGCAUUGAGCCAUAAUCACACCACACUUUAGCAUGGCAAAAAAAAAAAAAACAACAACAAAAAAAGAAA